rnacentral:rRNA from 1 species
UGGGUCUCGCUCGUUGCCUGACUUAACAGGAUGCUUCACAGUACGAACUGGCGACGGCCAUGCACCUCCUCUCAGCGAUUCAGGCAAAGUCUUCAGCUUGGCCUACAUAUUGCUGUCGCCCCCGGUGAGUUGUCCGGCGUUGAGUCCAAUUAAACCGCAGGCUCCACCCGUUGUUGUGCUCCCCCGCCAAUUCCUUUAAGUUUCAGCCUUGCGGCCGUACUUCCCAGGUGGCUCGCUUCACGGCUUCCCUGCGGCACCAGACACGGUCGCGCCAUGCCUGACACCUAGCGAGCAUCGUUUACGGCUGGGACUACCCGGGUAUCUAAUCCGGUUCGUGCCCCCAGCUUUCGUCCCUCACCGUCGAACCCGUUCUGGUAAGACGCCUUCGCCACAGGUGGUCCCACAGGGAUUACAAGAUUUCACUCCUACCCCUGUAGUACCUCUUACCUCUCCCGGUUCCAAGCCUGGCAGUAUCCCCCGAAAGCCUAACGGUUAAGCCGUCAGAUUUCCCGGAGGACUGACCAAACCGGCUACGGACCCUUUAGACCCAAUAAACACGAUCACCACUCGGGCCGCCGGUGUUACCGCGGCGGCUGGCACCGGUCUUGCCCGGCCCUUGCUAACAGGUGUAGUUUACACACCUGGACAGCCAGCAUAUGAUGCUGGCACUCGGUGUCCCCUUAUCACGGUUUCCCGCAUUGUAAAGUUUUCGCGCCUGCUGCGCCCCGUAGGGCCUGGAUUCAUGUCUCAGAAUCCAUCUCCGGGCUCUUGCUCUCACAACCCGUACCCGUCGUUGGCUAGUAGGUACAUUACACCCACUACUACCUGAUAGGCCGCAGACCCAUCCUUGGGCAGACGAAUCCAUUUCACGCAUAAAGCAUUCCAGCAUAUAUGCGGUAUCCGGAAUUAUCCCCAGUUUCCCGGGGUUAUGCCGGUCCCAAGGGCAGGUUAUCCACGUGUUACUGAGCAGUACGCCAUGUUCACGAAGAACAUAUGACUCGCAUGGCUUAGGCGAACACCGAUAGCAGUAACCUCUGGCAGGAUCAACCA